AUCGCUUCUUGGCCUUUUGGCUAAGAUCAAGUGUAUUAUUAUUAUUAUUAUUUUGAGAUGGAGUUUCACUCCUGUCGCCCAGGGUGUACUGCAAUGGUUCGUCUCUGUUCAUUGCAACCUCC
rnacentral:snRNA from 1 species